UGUGAUGAUGCUACACAAAGACGUCGAAAAAGUGGCGGAUCCAAUGAGAAGUUGCAGCUAACCAACACAAACAAGUAUAUGUUAAGUUAAGAAACUCGAGGAAACUUUAGAAAAAUGGGGAAAACAAGUGACCUUGACGGCAACUACUGGAAUUGCAGCCUUUAACAUAGGCGGAUUAUCUUCUCACAGAUAGAGUGGCACUGGAGACGGCAGAUUUUCGUAAGAAACCCUGUGUGUAAAAAAUCUUUUUGACGAAAUAUACUGUGAACAGGGAAAAAAUUGAACACUAACAUAUUAAAUAUGGAUUAAAUAUGUCCGUCUCAAACUUUUUGACACAUUAGAAUAUAUUUGUAGAAAAAAAUAAGGAAAAGAACACAUAUUUUGAUGCACUGCAGUUGAUAGUGAAAGGUUUUUUCUUUCAAUUACCACCUGUGCCUGAUCUAAAAGGUGACAAGGGUGAUUAUUGCUUCAAGUCUGAAAAAUUCAGAAAGACUUUUAAACGCAUGAGGUGAAAAGAAAAAAAUGUGGACUUUAUUACCUGCAUAAUUGAAGUUUCUAAAAGAACUAUAAGUUUGUUGUUUAACGUCUCUCUCGAGAAUUUUUCACUCAUAUGGAGACGCCAUCACAUGCCGAUGGAGAGCUGCACAUUUUAACGUAUUCUCGAUACUCAGGGCCAUUGAACAGUGAGGAGUCUUUUUCGUGGCAGUACCUACUGCGACACGGACCUCGGCGGUUUAUACCGUCUCAUCCGAAGGGCUGGUCUCCAUGUCCCAUAGAUGGAUUCGAACCUGCGAGGUAGGGAUCAACACCUUGCUCCGCGAUUCUGGGCAAACGCUCUAACUAUAAGCAAUGAUUCCUUAUCACUUCUAAGGAGAAUGAGAAGAUCAUUACGCACCAGACCACCGCCUGUUCGCCUCUGUGAUAAUAAAUUUGAUUAUGAUGUUUAUAAUGCCUCUAAAUUGAUUGAUGUGCAAGGUGAGACUACAAACUAUGAGGCAGAAGACAGUGGUGAAAAAAAAAAUAUCCGAAUACUUUGUCUGUCCCAGAGGUAUUUGUACUUGAAAAUAGACUGUCCAGUAUUACUUCAGAAGAAUUUAAGUGACCAACUAGUAAAUGAACUUGAAGGGAAAAGCACAGGAGUUUCUACUAAUGAAGGAACUGUGUACCUUUACUUUAAGCCUUGCAAUCAGCAUAACAAUCCACAAAGCUCAAGGCCUCAUUCUAGAUAAGAUAGAAGUGGAUGGGGACAACAUAUUCAGUCCAGAUCAGUUAGGGGUAUUUGACUUAUAAGUUCAAUCCAAAUUCAGUGCUUAAACACGAUUGCCUCCUUUAUGAAUUUUGUGACACCGUGCGUGUGUUGAUUUUAAAGAGGAUUUAAAAUGCUGCAGCUUGAACAUUGUAAUCAGGAUCAGCAUUGCCUUGAAUUAAUUACCUAUGAUGUGAAUGAUGAAAAUGAAAUAUAACAUUUUACUCAGGAAGAAAUUGACAAACUCUGUAUGUUGAAUCCUAUGAAGUCCCUCUUCCAACUUUUGAAAAUAAUUUAAAAACUGAAAUAAUUGAUUGAUUGUAUACCGGUAUUGUUUUACGUCCCAUUCGAGAAUUUUUCACUCAUAUAGAGACGUCACCAUAUACUGGUGAAGGGCUUCAAAUUUUGUCCUUUACUCGGCACUCAGGGCCAUUGAGCAGUGAGGGAUCUUUAUCGUGUCAUCGCCUGUCGAACACGGAGCCUCGGUUUUUAAGGUCUCAUCCGAACGACCCGUAACUUUCACUUCAAAGUGCCGAGCGCAUGGCGAAGGAACAGUUGCUACCCAUUUUUUAUCGACUUUGGACAGUCGCGGCCGAGAUUCGAACUCAAGACCUCCCGAUCACGAAAACUGAAAUGAUGGAUAUUAUUAAAAAGGUGCACACAUCUGGAGGUGACAAUCUAAAGAUAGGCAGUAAAACCUGCAAAAGUUAUUAUUCGGAAAUGUACAAAUUCUCAACCUCUGCAAAGCAUAAGAAAAAAAAACUUGUUCAGGCUUAUAUUGUGAGAAAAGCGACAACAGAGGAAUUUAAAUCAAGCAGAACAAUAUUUGAUCGGAUAUCGUCUUCAGUUAUGCAAGAACAAACAUCUCAUUUUAGCAAUUUCUCAAGCUGGAAAAAACAAUGACAAUAUCCGAUACCAGCCAUGGUAAAAUAAGGAACAUCGGUGGUGCAUGUGUUUCCAAGUCCAAGUUUCAUUUUAUGAAUUUGUCUAGAGAAAGUCCUUGUACAAAAACAAAGUCAAGUCAUCAAAUUUAUACUUUAAAGUGAAAAUGUUGGACCAUCGCUUGAUGUCCUCCAAAUAUCCAAAAAUACUAGCAACUGAGAGGAAACACAAUGCAUUUGUAAAAAGAAAGUGAAGUAUCAUAUUAAAUGUCAUAUUACAUGGUGCAUCAUGUCUGACAUUAUAAGAAAAAGAAUCUUCAACAGGACACAGAACUAAAAGAACGGUGGGACAAUCUUUUCAGUGAUUUUGAUAAUUGCAGAUUAUUUACAGAUGAAGGGGACUCGCUUAAGACAAGCAAAGUUCAAUUGUAUAAGGCCAUUAUCACAAGAUUUCUAAGCAUUGGAAAUAAUGAGUACAGAAAAGAAAUUCCCCAGAAAUUUGGAAGAGAAAAAUUUGAAAGACAUUGGAAGAAAGUUGUCUCGUGUGAAGCUAAUCAGAAAGACACUGGCUAACAGAAAAUAUGCUCAGGAAUUUCCGAGAAGCCAAGCAAGGAUAUGGCCUUAUAUUAAGAGACACAAAGUACCAGUCAGACAGUAAAGAGGGGGGAUUGCCAAGAAUCUACAGCAGCUUCGAGAAAAAUAAAAUUCUGAAUGCAAAGAAACUACAGAAUCAUAACAUAUAACAAAGUGUAUGUUGAAGAUAAAAAUUGGAUUAAGCA